AGGAAUCUGUGCCUUUGUAUGAAUCGGAACCAACUUUGGAAAGCGCGGCCAGACGCAUCAUUCAAAUUGAAAUAUACCGAAAUGGUUGGUUGGGUCAAGAGAGAAAAAGUCAAGAGAGGACGGUAUUUGACAAAACUUAAUCGGUAACUGGAACGAUAUAGCAAACUGGGGUCUGAGUUUGAAACAAAUGCGAAUUUCCGAGAAACUUCUAACGCACGACGUCACUUUUAAACGCGCGUUUAAACGCAAUCAACAAGACAAAAGAGAAU